rnacentral:rRNA from 1 species
UACGAAGGGGGCUAGCGUUGCUCGGAAUCACUGGGCGUAAAGCGCCACGUAGGCGGACUCUUAAGUCAGGGGUGAAAUCCUGGAGCUCAACUCCAGAACUGCCUUUGAUACUGGGAGUCUUGAGUUCGGGAGAGGUGAGUGGAACUGCGAGUGUAGAGGUGAAAUUCGUAGAUAUUCGCAAGAACACCAGUGGCGAAGGCGGCUCACUGGCCCGAUACUGACGCUGAGGUGCGAAAGCGUGGGGAGCAAACAGGG